UUGGGGUAGAGUUCAGUGGUAGAGUGUUUGCCUAGCAUGUGCAAGGCCCUGGGUUCAAUCCCCAGCACACCAAA
rnacentral:tRNA from 1 species